rnacentral:tRNA from 1 species
GACUUCGUAGCUUAGUUGGCUAGAGUGUUUGCUGUACUAAAAUCUUCCAGUUGCUGGCGUGGGUUCGAAUCCCACCGACGCUA